rnacentral:lncRNA from 7 species
GGCUGCAAUCUCAAUUGGAGUUUGGAGGGAGGAAGAAGGAAGGAGUAAGGGAAGAACCUAAGGUGAAUUUGUGAUUAACUUUUGUUGUUUUUGUGCUGCAAUCAAUUGGAUUAUGUGUUUAUCUUUGCGAAUCGGUAGAGGUGCUGUCCAGGAAUUUUGUGAGUGGGUGAACAGCAGUAGUUCUAGGGAUUUCUGGGAAUUUUCGUGGGGUAAUUAGUGGGAAUCAGUGGGAUAAUCAUGUAGAGCUUUGUCAUACCUUUCCAACGAGUACUUAUGCGCUCGAUUCGGAGUUAUAAUUUAGGAGAUAUCGUCGUUUGAAUCCGGGUAUGUUGCUGUCCAAAAAAACAGAUUUUUCAGGUGGGUGAACAGCAGUAGUAUUAGCAGUUUCUGGGAAUUUUCGUGGGGUAAUUAGUGGGAAUCAGUGGGAUAAUCAUGUAGAGCUUUGUCAUACCUUUCCAACGAGUACUUAUGCGCUCGAUUCGGAGUUAUAAUUUAGGAGAUAUCGUCGUUUGAAUCCGGGUAUGUUGCUGUCCAAAAAAACAGAUUUUUCAGGUGGGUGAACAGCAGUAGUAUUAGCAGUUUCUGGGAAUUUUCGUGGGGUAAUUAGUGGGAAUCAGUGGGAUAAUCAUGUAGAGCUUUGUCAUACCUUUCCAACGAGUACUUAUGCGCUCGAUUCGGAGUUAUAAUUUAGGAGAUAUCGUCGUUUGAAUCCGGGUAUGUUGCUGUCCAAAAAAACAGAUUUUUCAGGUGGGUGAACAACAGUAGUAUUAGCAGUUUCUGGGAAUUUUUCGUGGUUAAUUAGUGCUAACCAGUAUGAUAAUCAUGUAUGGCUUUGUCUUAUCUUUCCAAUGAGUACUUAUGCGCUUGAAUUGGAAUUAUAUUUUAAAAGAUAUCGCUGUUUGAAUCCGGGUAUGUCGCUGUCCAAAAGAGAAAAAAACAGAUUACAGGGUUCAACUUGUGAACUGUUUUGGGCUAAUUAGAUGUUGGAAUUUAAUUAUAAAUUGUAUACAAAACUUGUGGGGAAUUUUAUGUAGAUGCCUCUGGAGUUUUUGUUUGUUACCAAUGCUGUCAUAAUUUUGAAGUUAUGAAAUUAUUAAGCAGCGCCGCUACAGUUUGGUGGGUGUGGGGAGAGAUGUAACCCGUGGCGGGGUUUGAGUUUGUGCGUAGGUGCGGCGUCGUUUAUGAGCCUGGUUAUGUGAAAUUGGUGCACUAAGUUGUGUGUCAAAAACAGGUGGUGGACUUCCGGAUCGUACUUAGGGAUUUGCCCGAACUUCCGGUAAAGGCAAGUAAAUAUAGUGGUGGUUGCUACCGUUUGGUUUGCAUCCUAUUCCCUGUCAUUGAGUAUGCAUAAGUUUUUAAUUAUGUUAAUCAUUGAAUUCUAUGAUGAAGUUUAUUUGUUUGGAAGUAUUAAUUCUCAAUUGUCUAAUAUUGUGGAUGAUCAUAAUUUGGUUAUGAUAUAUGUGGUUGAUUCCCAUCUUGGAUGAAGUUGAAGUGUCUUUUUGAAUCACGUUAUAUGAAGUGUUGUAGGCAUGACAUGCACAUCGCAUCAUCCAUCUUGCAUUUUGAAGUUAUGUCGUGAUCUUAUGGUCCGACCGUACCGGUACAUUUUUAGCAUCGUAUGUUGCCCGAGGAGGGGUACGAUGCGGCUUCAUAUCCUUAGAGGUAUGAAGGCAGAAGUCAUCCUUGCAUUUGCAGACAUUUGCAUUCAUGAGGAAUAUAUGAAGUGUGACAUUACUAUGUUACUAUUGUGGUUUCUACCUGCGAGGUGUGGUAACUAGGUGUGUUGUACGUUGUAUACGUGCUGCAUCUUGGUAAUAAGAAGGUUGUGGAAUCAGGUGGUGGUAAAACAAUGUUCUUAUGUGGUUGAAUAGUUUGAUAAUAUUUUACUUGCUGAGAUAUGUCAUCUCACUCUUGCAUUACUCAAUGCAGGUACUUGAUACAUGUUGGGAAUGAGGGGAGUAGCAGCACGUCCACUUACACUCUCACAAUAACGCUGCCCAGGCGCAGCCAUGAUUUAAUUAGAAACUUAUUGUCAAAGGAAGUUUGUUUUUUAUAUAGUCGUGCACACUGAUUAAUUCAGUUCAGGUCGUACGUUUAUCUUCCCUUGCUAGCCGAUUAAUAAUACUUAGUAUGUUUUUGG